UACGUAGGGUGCAAGCGUUAAUCGGAAUUACUGGGCGUAAAGCGUGCGCAGGCGGUUUUGUAAGUCUGUCGUGAAAGCCCCGGGCUCAACUUGGGAACUGCAUUUGUGACUGCAUCGCUGGAGUGCGGCAGAGGGGGAUGGAAUUCCGCGUGUAGCAGUGAAAUGCGUAGAGAUGUGGAGGAACACCGAUGGCGAAGGCAGCCUCCUGGGCCAGCACUGACGCUCAUGCACGAAAGCGUGGGGAGCAAACAGG
rnacentral:rRNA from 1 species